rnacentral:rRNA from 1 species
UGGGGAAUCUUGGACAAUGGGCGCAAGCCUGAUCCAGCCAUGCCGCGUGAGCGAUGAAGGCCUUAGGGUUGUAAAGCUCUUUCACCGGUGAAGAUAAUGACGGUAGCAGGUAAAGAAACCCCGGCUAACUCCGUGCCAGCAGCCGCGGUAAUACGGAGGGGGUUAGCGUUGUUCGGAAUUACUGGGCGUAAAGCGCACGUAGGCGGACCAGAAAGUUGGGGGUGAAAUCCCGGGGGCUCAACCCCGGAACUGCCUCCAAAACUAUUGGUCUAGAGUUCGAGAGAGGUGAGUGGAAUUCCAAGUGUAGAGGUGAAAUUCGUAGAUAUUUGGAGGAACACCAGUGGCGAAGGCGGCUCACUGGCUCGAUACUGACGCUGAGGUGCGAAAGUGUGGGGAGCAAACAGGAUUAGAUACCCUGGUAGUCCACGCCGUAAAACGAUGAAUGUUAGCCGUCGGGCAGUAUACUGUUCGGUGGCGCAGCUAACGCAUUAAACAUUCCGCCU